CUAACAUGAUGUUGUGAUCAAUGGUGUCAUAUAAGCGCAUAAUAGCUAUAGCUGCUAGUGGUCUUGGAAACACCUGUUAUACUGAGAAGGAAGAAGACAGAGGCGGGAAGAAGGAUAAGACUAUGGAGAGGAACCACCGCUGAGUAUUGUCUAGACGUGGCAGUCUGUGUACACAAGGGGGCUGAGCACACUCAAGAGAGGUUGGAUGGAAGCAUAAGAAAUACUGUUGCUGGUCGCGGUAAAAGAAAACAAUUCCACCACUGUUAACUUCAUUUUACAGUUUCAGGUUGAAGAGUAUGGGCUGGACACAUGAGCCAUCUGCAGAACUUGACCUGUGACCAUUCCUUAAGGGACAGUGUCAUUCAACAGUAAAUCCAGUGGCUGCUCUGUCACCCAUUUAAGGUGAACUCCAGUCAGCAUCCCACAUGUGAGAGGCCUGGAUGUGGAAAAUACACUGACCUGAUAACUGCAGCUGAGCUAUUGACAAGUGGAAAGAAAAACAAAACAGCGUUGUGUCAAAUGAGAUUGAUUAAUGGGUAAUGUCAUUCUGCAGUGCUUUAGGAGCAUCACUGGAUCCUGCACAUGUAGAACAGUUGGGUCCAUAGGACAGAA